UACGGGGGGGGCAAGCGUUGUUCGGAAUUACUGGGCGUAAAGGGCUCGUAGGCGGCCAACUAAGUCCGAUGUGAAAUCUCCCGGCUUAACUGGGGAACUGCAUCGGAAACUGAUCGGCUUGAAGGUGGGAGAGGGUAGUGGAAUUCCCGGUGUAGUGGUGAAAUGCGUAGAUAUCGGGAGGAACACCAGUGGCGAAGGCGACUACCUGGCCCAUUCUUGACGCUGAGGCGCGAAAGCUAGGGGAGCGAACGGG
rnacentral:rRNA from 1 species